CGUUAAAUCUUCUACGUUCAUGGCUCCGCCCUUACUCCUCCGGGUGGUUUUUGGACGGAAACUGCUCCAUCCUCUCCGCAAUGGCGGCGGCGCUCUAGGUCCGCUGCAGUUACCUCGUCCUCGCCGUCUUCGGUGUUUGCCGGCGAUAUUUCCC